rnacentral:misc_RNA from 1 species
GCAUGGUUUGAUAGAUUCAGUAAGGCCAUGAUCUCCUUUAGAUACUAUCAAAACAAUACGGAUUAUGCUCUAUUUAUGCAACAAUGUAAAGAUAAGAUUACAUUACUUAUUAUUUAUGUUGAUGACAGUUGUGACAAGAAAUGAUAAGGAAGAGAUUGCCAAUAUGAAAGAACUCUUGGCACAGGAGUUUGAGAUUAAAGACUUGGGUAGA